CGAAUCUGCCUGGGAGCGAGGACCCUGGCCAUAGCCGCCAUCGGGGAUCCUCGCUACGUCGACGGAAAUCACGCCCUAGCCGCCAAGGCAGAUCCUUUUGCCGGCGCCAAGGCCCUAGAGGAGGCGUCGGCGCCUUCGUUGAGGACCUUCCGGUCGCCGUCGGUUCACAACAGAAACCGUGUUCGUCACCGCACUCCUCCUCUCUCUCCAUCUCGCUAGCGGCAAUGGAGAUCAGCACCCUCCAGAUCUUCCUUCACCGAUCCUACAUGCACGACCUCCGCGACCACCCACCAGCGACGGUCUGAGGUCACCGACGCGGGCCGGUGGGCGACCCAACGAUUCGCCGCCGCCGUCAGGUUCGUCUCUCGGGCUGACAUACUGCGGAUCGGAACUCCGUUGAAUCCUCUGUCGUUGGCCCAUGCCACAGUCCUCUCCUUGUCCCUCCUACAAUUCAUGUACAUCUUCCCCCGAUUCACCAGGUCAGUCGCGAGGGACCUCUGAUCUGCAAGUUCCUGAUUUUCAGACGUUGUGUUGUGUGUUGUUCUCCUGGAGGUCCUUCUGGUUGGGUGUGCCAACCUUUUCUUGAUAGCAGUUGAGAUUUAUCCACCAAUCUUAAAAGUUUGGUGCCUAUAAAUCAGUUAGCUGAUUCCUUUCUUUUCAUUCUCUUUUGAUUUUCUGGUCUGAUUAUUCAAGCUGUUCUGAUGCUUCAUCACGACAUUCAAUAUUGCAGUGUGGCCAAUCCGUGGAGUGCUUGUAAGUGGAACGUUGGACACGUACAUGAUAUACACUGUCUAGCUAUGCGUAUGUGAAUUUCUUGAUGCAUUUGUUAGGAGCAAACAGUUUGAUAUUUUUUUCAUGUGCCACUGCGAAGUAGCAUUAGUAUCUCCCAAUGUCAAAUAUCUGACAUUAAAUGAUCUGCUAGCAUUUCUACCAUUACCAGUCUGAUGUAGUUUUCCGUGUUUUGUCAAGGUAAGUAGAUGAUAUAAGAAAGCGUUGACAUUCUUAAAGAGUGUCUUUCCUCUUUCAGGGGUUUGUUUACUUCAUCUAGGAUUUUCUUUUCUUCCCUUUCAAUAUUUUUAUUUAAUUAGUUUGUUUCCUCUCUUCCUAUACAACCCUUUUGUACAAUUUUGUUUUGUUGUUUCCUAUAUAGAUAAAAAAUAGCAGUGUGGAUUAUCUAGCUGUACAGCCUAAAAAGUCCAUAUCUGAGGGGUACAAUUUCCUAUUUGGGUCUAGAUAUAUUCUCCUUGAAAGAUAUAUACACCUCCCUACUGCUUUUGGAUUGGUAUUCUGCAGCCAUGAUAUUGUACCGAGCUGCGUGAUUGGACAAAUAAUCCUAUACUAGCAAUUCAUAAUUUGAACUGCGAGUGGAUUUUCUUUAGUAGUGUUACAACGGUUAAAUUUCCUCCUAGAUAAUAUAUCUUUGCAGUUGCAACUACUCUCUCCUCCUUGAUGUGCCCUACAUCACCGCCAGCAGUGCAUCAGGCCGCUAUUGUGCAGGUGUGUGCCGUCUGCCCUUAACCGUUUUUUAAAUCUGUUAUGAUCCUUGAGAUUUGUGGGCCGUUUUGGCUUACUGUAAAGGUUCUGAACAUUUAGGUACGGGAUUACUUAUCAGCAUUUUGUCGGUGAAUGCUAGAACUCGUGUUUGUCAGGUUAUGCCAUUUGAAUUCAGUUACAUAUUGUGAUUCACUUUGCUUUCAUUGCAGUCCUGAUAUGAUUCACACCCACAUGGCUACACAUGAGAAAAUUGCAGAUCGGUUUUUAGAUUGACUGGUUGAAUGGGCAAAGAAUAUAAAAAUCUCAAAUCCAUUGAAGAUUGCAGACAUGGGUCACUUGUCAGUGAAGGCAAAUAGGUAUUGUCUGCAACGCAAAUGCCUGGGGAGGCACUGGAUGGUCGCUCGAACAGCGGUUGUUGUGAGAAAAUUACCCAGGUGCUUGAGGUUAGAAGUGUACAGAGGAGCUCUGGAACCUCCUGCAUGACAAGGUCACACGAUGUGUUGUGUUUACCCAUGAGAAUGAACCUUCUAAUGUACCCCUCACAACCGGAUGUUUCUUGAAAGCAGCCAUGUAUUGUUUUCAUGGAUGAAACUGAUGCCAUUGGUGGCCUAAGAUUCUGUAAGGGCACUAGAGCAGAUCGUGAAAUACAACAGAGUUGAUGGAUCUCCUUAAUCAAAUAGAUGGAUACACGAGCUC